ACUUUCAGUUCUUUAUUUAUUAUUGUUACUUACUGAGUUGGUUGUACUCAUACUAUACCCUGCACUUCAUGUGCAGAUCCAGGUGAUCCCGGAUACGGUGGGUGUUUAUUCUUUCACACAGUCGAUUUUCCGGAGAUUCAGAGUAUGGGGGGAUUGCAACCACGCAUUUCAUCUUCAUUGUAUCUUGAAGUGGGCGAAUUCUAAAUCUGCUCAAGCACAUUGUCCCAUGUGCCAUCGUGAAUGGCAGUUUAAAGAAUGAAAAGAUUCUGUGCAUCUUUUGCUCAUGAAUAGAAGGAAUGAAUCAGAAUUUUCCACCACUAGGAUUCUCUGCUUCAUUCCUCUUGAGAAGGGGUAAAAGUAUGAAUCUAUUUAUUAAAAUUUUUUAUUCUUUUUUAAAUGACUAUUAUUUAUAAAAUAUUGUUAACAGUUUCAA